UAAGUAUGCAUACAUACGCACCCCCAUGGGGUCUGCCCUGAUUAAGAAGGGAACAUUCUCCCACAAGCCCCCUCCCAGCUGAUAUCUUCUCAAAGGAAACCCUUAUUCUGACCCUUAUCACCAUAAAUUGGUCUUGUCCUUGAACUUCAUAUAAAUGGACUCAUACCGUAUACAUCUGGAGUUUGGCUUCUUUCUUGUCACAUCGUCUAUGAGAGUCAUUCAUGCUGUUGCAUAGAUCAAUAGUUUGUUCUUUUUCUCAAUUGUGUAGUUUUCCAUUCCAUUCCAUUAUAUGAAUAUACAACAAUUAUUUGUCCAUCUACAAUUGUUUCUUGCCUAAAUUAGCAAUUAGCCCCUUAAUUUGUCCACUUGCGUCUCCACUUGCCUUCUAAUUUUUUCUCCACUCCAUAGCCAGAAUGGUUUACUCUGUCCUUUCUAAGAGAGAUGUGCACAUUGACUCUGGCAAGUGCUCGUAUUCUAACUAGUCUGGGUUGCGUUUUGGGAUGAAGAGAGUCCAACUUAAUAAUUUCAAUGCAACACACGUUUAUUGUGCAGCCAAGACACGGCUUCUGUUCUUUAAGAGUACAUAGGAAGUUCCUAGGAAGACAAUUGUAUAAUCUAAUAAAUUCUGUUCAGUGUGAUUGGUUGCACCAUAGUGGCAGAACACUAGGUACAGGGGGAUCACAAAGAGGGUGAAAUACUCCUCAAGAUUCCCUUCCUUGGUGCUGAGUGCACUCUCACUGAGAAACCUUCUAAUUACUGGUUGGCCUCCAAGACGCCUCGAUAUCUGGAAGCGGGUCCUUAAUAGGAGCAGAAGCAGAUCAGUCAAGAACAUCAUUGUUAAAACAACGCAUUGGGUUUCUGGGUCCACGGAUUGGUUUGUUUUGUUGCCAUGUCAUGUGCUUGGCUCGUAUGAUCCCAUCCAUGAGAAACGGGCCAAUUCCACGUAUAUGGACAGCAGUGUGCUCUGCUUUGAAAUGCUGAGAAUCAGACCCCACAAAUGCAGUACUGCCAGGUGACAUUGUUGGGCACCAGGAGCCUCCCUUUCUGACAUCUGCAGUUCUAGAGCUUUCAGCUGUGUUCAGUCCGGCACUCUGCACAAAGUAGGCCCUCAAUGCGUAAUUUUCCAUUUGACCCGACAGUGAAGUUGAAUAAAAGGCUUAUCUGCUUACUUAGAACGGGUGUUGAAGAGAAGACACGGUCAGCUUCUGAUUUACAUAGCAAGAUUUUUUUUUUAGUUGAUGAUGCCAGGUAAAUCUGUCUACUGAAACUCUCAAAUAGUUUCUUAUUUUUUUUCUAAUCCUGUCGAGAAGAUGAGGUUUUCCUUUAUGACCAGAUUCAGUUUACCAAGUGGAAUCAUAUAAAAAAUGGAAAUUACUUGUUGGUUUUAUUUGUCAUUAGUUUUUGCACUGUUAUGGCCAGGAGCUCCUUCCCCACUGGAUAAACGUGAAGGUGUCCUGUGACUUGCUGUGACUGAAGAGGCUGCCCAGUGAUGAGCUGUUCUGCCUGGAGCAUCCUUGCCUGACCAGCGCGUCUGCAGAACAUGAAUCACCAGCGGAGAUGGCCGCAGGCCAACCUCCCCUGUUACUGUGGUCCUGACCAGCUGGGUCACAUGGCUUGAAGCUGUGCUGCAGGGAGUGCUUCAACUGUCUCUGCUGUCCACCCUAGUUAGCAUCAGCCAAGACGGCUCGAGCUUCCCCAUGGCCCCGUCCUUGCUGAUCCCGACACCUGGUACUGGGAGCUGAGCCCGCCUGGCUGCAGCAUCACCUGGCAGUAUUAGGGAUUCUGCUUGCUUAUCCAUGUUGACUGUAGUUUCUGGGAGCCACUGACAAAUUGCCUCAGGAAGCCAAAUAGUUUAUCUAGGGCAGCUCCAGUCUGGCUGCUUAAAUAAAUGGUUGGACUAUCUUAAAUUUGGUCUAGAUUGAAACCUCGUGCAGA
rnacentral:lncRNA from 1 species